UUCAUGACUCUGUAAAGAUGGAAAGCUACAACAAGCUAUAAGCUAUAUAUGGAGAUUCUUGACAGGAGAGAGAGCUUGAGAGAUUGACAGAGGGGGAGAGAGAGUUUGAGGAGAGAGAGCUUGAGAGAUUGACUGAGGGGGAGAGAGAGUUUGAGGAGAGAGAGCUUGAGAAUGACUGCCUUGGCAAUAACCAAACAAAGUGCAAGUAAUUCAUCUGCAAUAAACACAAAAGCCUUCAAUUAAUACCCACCCAGUUCCUCGGCAAACUAUUCAAAUCAGGAAUUAAGCCCCUACUGGCUGCAUAGGAUUCUUCACACACCCAAACAAUAAAAUCACUACAAUGCCAUGGCAUGCACUCUAUAAUCAACAAAACAAAUAAUACAGUGCAAUCGAUGACGAAACAAUAAUAUUCGUUGCGGGGAGAGCACUUGAGGGGUGAGAAAAAGUGAGAAGAGAGAAAAGAGCGCGAACAAGCAGAGAGAGAUGUGAGUGAUUGCAUGGGACUUACUUAUUUGGUAUACAGUUCAUUAUUUCUUACUUAGAAUGCAGACGUGUCAAUAUUUUAUUGAAAUGUGUAAAUCCUACUUGUUUCACCCAUCCGGUUUGACGUUAAACUCUUUAAAAUAUUCUCAACAUUCAAUCU